CCAAUAGCGUAUAUUAAAGUUGCUGCGGUUAAAACGCUCGUCGUUGAAUUUCGGAAUUGAUGCAUCGGUCGUGCCUUAAGGGGCAUGAACUGGUGUAGCCAAUUUCUCACCUUCUGGUGAAUUGUUGAUGUUCUUAAUGGGUGUCUCAAUGAACUAGAAUUUUUUACUUUGAAAAAAUUAGAGUGUUUAAAGCAGGCAUUAAUUUGCUUGAAUACAUUAGCAUGGAAUAAUGAAAUAGGACAGUGGUUCCGUUUUGUUGGUUUCUAGGAUCACGUAAUGAUUAAUAGGGACAGUUGGGGGCAUUAGUAUUCAAUUGUCAGAGGUGAAAUUCUUGGAUUUAUUGAAGACUAACUAUUGCGAAAGCAUUUGCCAAGGAUGUUUUCAUUAAUCAAGAACGAAAGUUAGGGGAUCAAAGACGAUUAAGUACGUCGUAGUCCUAACCAUAAACUAUACCAACUAGGAAUCAGACGAUGUUAAUUUUUUAAUGACUCGUUUGGGACCUUACG
rnacentral:rRNA from 1 species